ACCAUACGACUCUCGGCAACGGAUAUCUCGGCUCUCGCAUCGAUGAAGAACGUAGCGAAAUGCGAUACUUGGUGUGAAUUGCAGAAUCCCGUGAACCAUCGAGUCUUUGAACGCAAGUUGCGCCCGAGGCCUUCCGGCUGAGGGCACGCCUGCCUGGGCGUCACGC
rnacentral:rRNA from 1 species